GUUUUCUAUUCUGUGUCUGGUUUUCUUUAUGCUGUGUUUUCUGGGUUCAUUCCUUUAUUCCAUUCCUGGAAUUCCCAGUCUCCUGGAUUCCUUUAUGUUUGUUUUAUGUUGCCACUCCCUUUCAUUUUUCAUUAUUCCUUUUGUUUCAGUUGGUUCCUGCAGGCAGUUGUUUCAUGUCCUCUGCCCUUCCUUUGCAGGUAAGUGCUGUGUGUGUUUUAUUAUUGUUUAUUUAGUCAUGCAUAUCUAGGCAGUUAGGACCACCAUUCUUGGAGUACUUUGGUGCAGUGGUGGGCUGCAUACAUAUUGGCCAUUUAUGUAUGUCUAAAUCUCCAAUGUUUUACAUAAAUAGUACUUAGUUUUGUCUCCUCUUGUUUUGCCUUAUAUCUCUUGUCUUGUUUUAUUUUGUAUUCCCAGUCCAUAUACAGUCCUGUCCUGUCCUGCCCUGCCCAUGUUCUGUUAAUGUUUAUUGUGUACAUAUUCUGGGUCCUGCUUUCUAUCCUACUCUGGUUCUGGGUUCUUCUAGUUUUGUCUUGUUUGGUGCCUAUUCUAGUCUUACCUUGUUUCAAGUACUGGAUACAUCUCAGCAUAUCAUCUGCUCCUCGCAUCCAUAUAAGCUGCAACUGGGUUCUGGUUUGUGGCCGCACAAAUGCUGGUGCUCAACACCAGGGGGCGUGUGGCUACCCUGCACCAGGCCCUUCUUAUCCACUUCCACGCUGAAGACUCCGCUCAUCUUCUACGUCAGGCACAGGGGUCCCGGUCUUCAGACUGCCACCCUGACACAUUUGUUAUGAGAAAAGGCUAGAAAAACUGGAAUUUAUUAAGACACGGAGGCUCCUAUUAUGCUGCACUCUUUCUUUAUUUCCCUCAGCAGCAAAGAAAAAUAACAUUAAAUCGGUAUAAAAGAAACCGGUAAAUAACAUGAGAGGUAUAUCUUCCUAGCAACAGGAACAGCCAAUCAGCAUCCUCUUCAUAGCAUAAUAGGCGGUGUCCAGUAUACUACUACCUCUUUCUUUGCUGCUCCCUCAGUUAUGUGACACUGGGUCCCACGGUUCUUAACUGUGGGAUCUUUUACUUUAUACAUUACUGUCAGGACUUACCUGAAGGAAGGUAUUCGCCCAGUGAUAAAUUUGAGACAGUGGUUAUGAGGCAUAUCAGCACUUCCAAGAUGGAAGGAGGGCGUUGCUUAAGGGAUCUUCUUCAACCAGCAGAUUGGAUGGCCAAAUUGGAUCUGCAGUGAAAGACUGCAUUUAACAUCCUGCAGUGAAACACCUACCACCUUCAGGUACUGACUGAAGCUUGGAAGAUACUCCACCCCAUAUAUUCCUGGAUUGCUAACGUAUUCUCAGGUGUUACUAUAGAUUUGUUACCAUUUAUACCACUGUAUACCAUUUUCCACUGUAAUUUUUCUGUGCAUGCCGUUUGUACUAUGGUCAUUUAAUGUUUCUGACCAAUAUUCCAUGUAGACAGUUAUUAAUAUUUUGGGCGAUAGAAUUUGGUUGCUAAACUUUUCAAUAGUAUAGAACACAUGGCUACCCUAACCCCCCUCCCUUUUCCCCUCUCUCCCUCUCCCUUUCUCCUCCCCAGUUGUAAAUACCUUCAUAUGACUGUUCCAUCUCAUUCUCUGUUAUUCAGGCUUCACAUCACUCUGAACUCAGUAAAAGACUGCAUUUUUUCUCCCCACUUCCCACCUACCCUCCCCUCCUCCUGCCCACCCAGGCUCCCCCUAAAUAUAUAGCAUGCCUCUCCAGCUGUUUGAGAUUCUCACUCAAUUACCUCUUCAUUCCCUUUAUAUCUUACCAAUUGCUGCUUCUCUGUAAAAUCUUCCAGCCAUGACAUCCAAACUACCCCUGCUACCUCUUGUCAAUAAUCCCCCUGGUAUCCUUUAGAUUGUAAGCUCACGGGCCAUCUAGCCAAGCACUUUGUAUAAAAGAGCUCCAAUGGCUAGAUAUCAGCUUACGGACAGGGCUCUCUCUACCUCUUGUAUUUGUCUGUGUAUAUUGUAUGUUUCUCCACUAAUUGUACAGCGCUGCGGAAUCUGUUGGCGCUUUAUAAAUAGCAGUAGUAAAUAAAUAUCUCACAGUGCCUAUCGCAGUCCAACAUCAAGAUUCCAUCAAGAUCGAGAACUUCCUGCAGUUUACAUGGUAGGGCAGGAAAUGGAGGUUCAGGUGGCUCCUUUUCGGACUGUCUUUGGCUCCAUGGUGCUUCACCAAGCGCAUGAAACCUAUGGUCGCCCUGCUACGGAGUCGGGGAGUAUGUCUUAUAAUGUAUUUAGACUGCAUUUUCAUUCUGGCUCAGUCUAUUCAAUUAAUCCAGACAUACCUUUCAUGGACUUUGACUCUGUUAGAGAACCUAGGAUUCCUGAUCAAUUGGGAGAAAUCCAUUAUCGUUCCCACGCAACAAAUCAACUUUCUGGGUUAUAUUGGAUUAUUGUACAUUCUACCCUUCAAACUCUAUAAUUUCUGGUGGCAAAAUCAGCCAAUAUCAAGAAGGAUAUAGGCGAACACUAGCAACCUCUCAACUCUCUCUCAAACAACUGUUGAGAAUGUUAGGCCUUCUAGCGGCAUUUAUACAGGCCAUUUUUCCAGGUCUUCUUGGCUAUCGAGUCCUACAAAAGAUUAAAAACUUAAUCUCAAGGGCAGUGCAUCGUAAAAAGAUAUUGUAACUCUGGACUCAGAAGCGAAGGAUGAACUCCAUUGAUGGCUUCUUCACAUGGAAGCUUGGAAUGAACGCACCAUAUUCUGUACAGCUCCAGAUUUGAUAAUCAAAUCUGAUGCAAGUUUGCAUGGUUGGGGCGCUCAAUGUGGAAAUAUUUCCACCAAGGGCAGAUGAUCGGACCAGGAAUCGACACUUCACAUGAAUUGUUUGGAACUUCUGGCCCGUUCCUUUGCAGUCCGCAGUUUCUCCCCAACUGAAGCCCAAUGGACAUCUGGAACCCAUGGGGUCUAUUGGAAAUAGAUCUUUUCGCUUCUUGUUUGAAUGACUAGAUCUGACAGCACUGGCUACGAAUUUUUCUCAGAUUGGUCUUCUUCAAGGAAUUACGAUUUUCCGCCCUUUGCACUGAUUCCCUGUUGCCUUUGCAUCUACGUCGCCAAUCCGGCAACUGGUAAUCGUGGUGUGGUAAAUUACCAAACAACUUAUUUAAACUUAGAAGCCACACAAUUUAACACUUAAGAAAACAAUUAAAAUAGAUUAAAUUUCAUUCUAGUUAGUUGCAACAAGAGAGAGACAAUACAGCACAUGGGCAAUUAAAAAUGGCCAAAACAUCAAAGGUUCCAGUGCAGUGAAACUAUUCAAUUUUCCCCUUUUAUCACCAAUACUUUAAAACUGUACAGAAACAAAGGUAAACCUAUAAAUGCUACAGUUUGCAACAAAAUAUGUUCUGUCAGUCACAAUACACAAAUUGAAAACAGUCAACAAAACACAUAUGUAUAUUUGUUUCAACAAAAUGAAUCCUAUGCUAUAAAGUAUCUUGCUCUUACAUCAUGUAUCAAUAUGGUAGUUAUUGCACCUCACAAACAUUUGUUGUGAGGUGUCUAAAACUGAUGGUCGCCAAAAUGUGGUAAAUUACCAAACUCUAUAAAUUAUUAUGUACGCAUACACAUAUAAAUUAUGGUCCGUCAACUUUAACAAAUAUUUAUUCAGAGACAAAAGAACAACAUACAAAUAAUGACACACAAUCUAACUAACUUAACACCAGCAACAACAAUCUAACCAACAAUAACAACUAAAUCUUAUAAAAUCACCAGAUCCCACUCACAGUUCAAUAUUAUAAAAAUUAACCCAUAUCUGCUAAAAGAUCUGCUCAGCAGCACAGCCAAGAAGGAACCGGAAGGAAUCUGGGUAGGGGGAAGUGGUUAUCUCUUUCCUGACUUGUAAAGGUAUUGAAUUACCCAAUUACCAUAUCAAAUGGUAAAGCUUCUCCCACUGUAAGAAAGGCAUACAUGAGCUUGGUCACAUGACCCCUGGUCACCAUAUUAGUUUGAUGACAGAAUGUCACCACAUUCCCUCACUUUUUUUUCUCUUAUGUUGAGCACAUUUAAAAGUGUGAGAAUAUAGUCAAACAGGGGUUGCAUCACCCCACAUUCCCCCAAUUUCUAUUGUUUUCAGUUGUUCUGUUUUUAAAUUAACCACUGCCCUAGUGGGUUGGUAAGAACCCUGGUAGUUGUUCAUUAAUAUUAUAUGGUAAUGUGUUCAUGUGAAGUAGUAAAAUCUAGACACAAUCAACCCCAUACAGUAAUUAUCACUAGUUUAUGACACAAUAUGAUGUUUAGUUUCACUGGGACUGGAAUCUGAAGACUGUGACUGAUCUGUGUGCUUGAUAGCUGUGAUUUUAGAAUGAACUCUCCUUGAAUAUUGUCUUUGCCAAUCCAUUACAAAGCUUGAGGUUUGUAGGUUUAAUGACACAUGCAAGUUCAUGAGUGUAGGGUAAACUCAUUCUGUGACCACCUUGAAAUGACACAAAUUCCUGCUUCUUGCUGUGUUACUUAACCCUCAUUCUGGGCUGUGUCAAUAGUUUGACUUGGUAAUCUCAGCACUUCUACACUUGUAUAGUAUCCAUUUUCAGGAUAAUAGCUUGAUGUGUAAUCCCAGCACCUCUUCAUCUGAAUAGUAAUCAUUUUCAGGAUAAUAGUUUGUUUUGGAAAUCCCAGCACUUCUUCAUCUGUAUAGUAAACUGAGACAGGACAUGUCAGUUACCUUCGCCUCUCUGGGCCUUCCAAUUAAAAUGUUCUUUGAAUCAAACACAGAUAAUGAAAUAUGUACAACAGUAAUCAGUGUAUUGUCUUGUGUCAAAGGCUUAACUAGUUUUGUCUAAUAAAAUCUAUUUGGUUGUGGUGUCUUAAGGCUAUGUUUACAUUUUAGAGGUAGGUAAAAGACCCACAAAUGUCUCCUGAAAUUUUGAUUAAUUUAGACAUUUACUCCCCACCUGAUGGAGAGUUGAACACAAAACCAUAUUAGUUAUUUUACAAUUUACUGAUGAAUGCAUGCAAUAAGCACAAAAUGUACACAGUUUUAACCGAAAAUUAUUAUACAUGAAUGUGAGUGGGAAAGAUGUAAGGGUGAAAAAUGUAUUUGCAAUUGAACAUAGGUGCAAAUUCUUAUACCCAUAACUAUUUAACCCCCUGCAGAUAGCCAAAUAGAACAAAUAGCAUACAUUGUCCCUUUAUUAUUUAUGCCAUCUUCACUCAAGGCAAUCUAAUUUCCCUAUAUUCUUAAUGACAAAAAACAAAACAAAAAAACAAAGCAUCAAAGAUGGAGAGAGAAGAAAAAAAAGUAGAUUGAAUGCUACCAUUACACAGUUUGGCAGCAUGCAAUCUAUAGAAAACUGUCUGUUGCUAUUCAAAAAUCAACUUGAGGCUAUAUUUGUUGGUAAUCAAAUAAAAAAAAUGUUUUUAAUGUUUUUACUGUUGUAAACCAACAGAAAGUUAUACUAUCACAUCUCUCCAGUGUGAUCAAAUAUAAGCCUCACAUUGGGAACAAUUCACUUAAUCUAUGAAUUUAUAAUUAUUAAUCCAGCAUCAAAAAAAUAAAUAAAACAUAGCUGGCAGUGCAGGUGUGCUAAACUAACAAAAACAAAAAAAAAAUUGGAAUUUGGUCCACCUGACUAUAAUUAAUGAAUUUAGAGGCUUAUCCUUAAUAUGAAAAAAAUAUAUAUGUAACAAUACAUACUAAGGUCCUCUUUAAACUGGAGUGUUACGAGAUAAUGGUGAGACAGAUAAAAUAUAGAAACAAAAGAAAAACAAACAUACAUACAGAUGUAGAGGACAACAAAAAAUUAUGGGAGUUAUUAAUUGCUGGGGACCCCCAAUUGAUCAGUAUUUCCCUCCCUCAUCUGUUCCCUAAGCGCUUUCACGUCUGCCUCCAAUCUCUCAGUCUGUCUCUUUAGGUCCCAGUAGUCUCUAUUCCCUUCUUUAUUCCUCCAAUUAUCCCAAUUCCGUCUAUUGGUCUGAUGCUCAUCCCAUUUAUGGUUCCUUCUCCAAUUAUUCUCCCAAUAACUGUUCCUGUUGUUUCUCUGUUUUUCUUACCAACUGUGAUUUUCCCAGUUAUUAUCUCUCCUUUUUAGCCUCUCCCAGGUAUUAUUAUUAUUAUUCCAAUUAUUAUUGAUUACCUUAGGUUCCUCCCAUCUAUUUUCCCAAUUAUCUCUGUGACGAGACCAAUCUCGCCACAUUGCAUUGGAGAAGCCUGGUUGCUCGCCUGCUGCCUCUGGACUAUGGCCCCCUUUUAAAAGACUUUAUUUUGCCUGCAGAAAAGCUGUAUUCGUGCUUUUCUGCCGGUUGUUCAGUAGAUUCAAUCUACCGAACAACCGCACGAAUGAAUAGACCACCUGGGAGCUGGAGUGUGCCGGCAAUUAACCUCCCUGAAGCUGCGGUUAACCGCAGCUUAAUUGACGAAUGCUGGGUGGCCGCCAUUCGUAUCCCGAACACGAGGUCGCGGCCAUUUUAAACAUACGAAUGCACAGCGGUGUUCGCCCCUAUUUUCAUGGAACUAAAAUCGGACACAGUUUUGCGCGAACACCGCUGAAGCCGCUGACCUCCCUUCUUGUUCGGUGGAAGUGCACGAACGGCCCGGUGUUCGGUAGUUUUGUUUGAAUGUGUUAUACCCCAGAUAGGAAUCCCAUGGAGCCCAUUCGUAUGAAACUGACUGUAAAGACUUUGGCUCCAUGGCGAUUAAACUGUAUUCGUGUGGUCUGAGCGCCAUUCGCUUAAUAAUGUGCGCUCAGACCUGAGCUAUCUGGGGAUAUGUUACAUGUCUGUGUUUUAUGUAAUAAAUGUUACUUUAUGUAUUUUAAAGUAUAAUACUGGUUUUGUGUCCCCACGUGUGUAAUGGAGUUUUGCCUUUGUCCUGGGAGAUAAUUGAAUUACUUCUCCAGGGCAGAGGGGAGGAAGCCAGGAUGCAUUGUGGGGAUGUUUUACUUCUGUAUGUCUGUAAUUGGUACAUGUCUGUCUUUUGUUACAGUCUUCCAUCUGGUCCCCUAGGGGAGUGUCCACCAGGUGGGAGACCUGCAUAAAUACUGGGCAGGUAGCCCUCAUUAAACAGACCACUGCUUGACCCUCAACACGGAGCUCUGUCUCGUCUUUGGGGGGAUUUACUGUAUGCUGCUAAGGACUGAUUGCCAGGAGUGUAAGCCGCUUGGGUGCUUUUCCUGUUCGUCUGCUAGCAGCUAUUCGUGAGGUUCCAGUUCGGGAGUUUGGAGUGCUACUUUAUUCCCUUGUAUGCAGUUCGGGAGUUUGGUGCAUUCACUUGUAUUCAAUUCGUGAGUUUUGGGUGAUUCUACAGUAGCUGUGCCUGUCUCUGAAAGGGGAUUAUCGUCUAAGCAUUUUUUAGCCCUUUUGUGCAAAAUGGUCCGUUACAAUCUCCCAUUACAUUGCUUUCUUUAGCACUGUCCCUAUUCCUAUGGUCCCUUUGUGGAUCUCUCCAUCUUUUGUCAAAGUCCUGUUUUGGUCUCCAGUUCUCAUUAUCCCUCUUGUUCUGGGGUACAUCCCACCUCUGGCUUCUCCAUUUACCAUCUAUAUCUCUACCAGAGUCGACCUUGAAUGUUCUUAGGGCUGAAACAGAGAAGGCCUGUUCUGAGGAAGGAUCCUUAAUCCACCAAUUUUAUAACAUGACAGUAGGCUUCGUAUUUGCAUUAACUUUCUUUACUAGCUCCAUAGCAGCAAAGAAAAAAAAAACCAUUAAAGAAAGAACCAAUCAGAGUAAAACAGAGGAUAUAUAAGUCCCAGCGUAGCCAACCAUUUCCUCUUUCUUUGCUGCUCCAUCACAAGUAAGGUCAGAGUACUGAUUUCUUUAAGAUUCCUGUCAGGUUUCUUUAAGGUGUUAUUGACUGUAUGUUUUGCUUUAAUUGUACUUUGUCUUUUCUUACUGUUUUAUUUGCUGGUAUGCUUUAGUGUAUUGGGGGCCAGGGGGGACCUGAAUGGGACUACCCUCUCCUGUCAGGGGAGCUGUGCUCUCUAAUUGGGACAAUCUCUUCCAGCGCUCUCUUCUCCCUGCUCGACGGAAUUUUUGUCCGACUACCUCCCACCCCCCACCUCCCCCUCCCUUCCUUUUCCCUUCUUCCACCGGGUGGCUACGCUUGCCACCUUUUUUCUCUGCCGUUUCGCUCUGCUCGCGCUCUAGUAGCGCGAACAGGCUCGACCCUCGUUUCAGAGGGCACCGGGCAUUCGCGGCCCGACCCGUUCGCGCCGUCGGCUUCAAAGGCGCGAACGGGCGGACUGGAACUGCUCGCGCCCCCCAAGCCGGUCGCGGGGUUUUGCCGCGAACGAGUAAAUUUGCGCGAACGGACAGUUUUCCCGAAUUACUAAAAAGGGAAUUCAGUCCGUUCGCGGCUUUGUUACACACAUAGUGUUCGGCGGUUUCAGCCAGGCGAACGGCCGUUCGCGGCUAAACUGCUAAACGCUUAAAGGGCUCCAUUUUUGCGGGCUUUGUGCCCGAUAGUCUCGUGAGACCCGUGCGGCCAUUUUGUGGGUAAUCGGUUUCGUGGAGUACAACACCUAUCAAGAGAAGGCUCUAGCUCUAACAAGCUCAUUAUUAAUACUGCUGAGGUGGAAUUCGUUUGGGAACUUCACAGGUUGGUGUCAUUGCCCCUGGGGAGUGGGACUGCCAGUAGGGUUUAGCCCAAUAUCCUGGCUAGGGGUGAGCCCCCAUUGAGUGCUGCAUAGCGGGAACUGUUAAAGCAGUUCCCUGUGAACCUGGGUGAGCCCCAGCGACUAGGAGUCCAGUACCACGCCACUGAGCGUUAUUUAACCUGAGUCCCUCCCGCUAUACCUGUGCCUGUUAGUGCCCACACCAUGGAGGACACAAUUAAUACCAGUGACCUUCAAGCAAUGAUCAACGCGGCGGUAGCUGCGUCUUUGGAGAAGGCGUUAGCAAAAGCGGCUCCUGCCCCCGCUGAAUCUAACGCGCUGUCUAACAAGCCACACCAGGCUCACGAAGACUCAGAUGAGUCGGAUGACUCCACUAGAGAAAAGAAGCGCCCGGCGAAGCGCCACUGGAAGGGCGAAGGUUCCAAGAGAGCCGCCUUCAAAGGCAAGGCCCCUAUGAAGCGCAAUAAACGCACUAAUCAGAUACCUCCCGUGUACGCUGGGGAGGCCUCCUCGGAUGAGGAGCAUGACGUGCCCCACUCUCUCUCCAUUCUGGAUGAGUGGCAGGCUGAAACCUCCGACUCUGACGAGGGCGGUUGGGGUCCCAACGCCUAUGUCACCGAGACAUUUCUGGGUGAGCCCCAGCAAAAAGGAGAUGCGGAACCCCCCGCCACGGCCACGCAGGAGCAGGAAAUAUUCCUGGACUCCACGGGCCAGAGAAUGUUUGAUCCUAGGAAGAUUCGCCACCCCCGCUCGGGUGAGUGGGCCCCACCUGAUCAUCUCAUCCGCUUCAUGCAUUUUUGGAUCAGAAAACCUUUGGAAAAACAUAUCCGUAAGAGGAUGCGGGCAGAGUGUCCGAGACCUACCCUGCCAGAUAAAGUGGCCUAUACGCCGGAAUUUGAUCAGCUUAUGCUGACCUUUAUGGAACAAGGGGGCCGCGACCCACGGAGGGGGAUUGAGAAGAGUUUUAAAGGAGCUCAGGAUAAACUCCUAGACACAAUGGGCCCUUUGGCCCGAGUUAUGUACCUGGCGGACGAAGCAUACGCCAGAGCGGACUCCUUCACGGCAGACAUGGUACGAGAAUGGCACAUGAUAUCCGAGAGUGGGCCCAGAGGGGCUUUUGUUUCCUUGGUAAUACAAAUGCGGCCCUCUCUACGGAGCGGCGCCGGGCAGCACUUUUUCGUAUCGACCCCAAAUUAGUUGACCUCGGGGUCAAAGAAUUGGGCCCACAGGCACAGGGCAAGCUCUUUGGUGAAGCUUUUAUGAAGGAACUGAAUAAGCACGUAAACGUCUUUACCUCCUUGAAUAGGGCCCGCACGUCCAUGCAUAAGGUCUUCCGAGGUACCUCCGCAAAGGGUGUUUUUUCAAGGGCUGGUCGGCAGCGGGGCGGUGCCGCCAGCCGUUUCUGGCCUUCAGGCCCCCGUACAGGCUUCCAACACCAAUUCUUCCCUCAACAAGGUUCCCAGGGCAACGGAGCCAAGCAACCAUUCCCCUACUACCAAAGGGGUUCUGACAGAGGACGGGGCGGUCGAGGACGAGGCUGUGCACGCUUCCCUACAGGUAAGAGACCACCUUUGUUCGGUACCUCAUAUAAUUGUGAUUGCAGGCCGUGUUUCACUUUUUUCCCAGAAUUGGGCACAACUGUCCACGGACGCUUGGGUGCUACAGACCGUCCAAGGAUAUCGAAUAGAACUCCGAUCACAGCCCAUUCAAAGGUUCCCCCCUUAUCCUUUGCGUCUUUCGGCUGCGGACAAUCGCCUCAUAAACGGGGAACUCCGCGAGCUUCGCAUAAAGGGCGCUAUAGAACCGGUGCACACAAGGGGAGGAUUCUUCAGCAACAUGUUCCUCGUCCGCAAGAAGACUGGGGACUUCCGGCCAGUGAUCAAUUUGAGAGGACUAAACACGUUCGUGACCUACCGCCACUUCAAAAUGGAGGGCAUCCAUUUAUUGCGGGAUCUCCUCCAAGAAAGGGAUUGGUUUACGCGGCUAGACCUCAAAGACGCUUAUCUGACAAUUCCAAUCCACACGGACAGCCGUCCAUUUCUCCGCUUCCUCUGGAACGGCACGCCAUGGCAAUUCACGUGCUUUCCGUUCGGACUGAGCUCAGCACCGUGGUGCUUCACAAAAAUGCUAAAACCGGUGGUAUCCCACCUUCGAACACGCGGGAUCAGAUGCAUAAUUUAUCUGGACGACAUUCUCUUGUUCUGCAGAACAAGGGAACUGGCCAUCCGGCACACUACGUAUACAGUACGACUGUUAGAAUCAUUGGGCUUCAUGGUCAACAAGGCCAAAUCCGCAAUGACGCCUGCUUAACGAAUCCAAUUCCUGGGCUUCGAGAUCGACUCCAGGUCUUGCACCCUGCAUCUCCCCUCAGCCAAAGUGACGGCCAUCAAGAAGGAGAUCCGCAGGGUUCUCAAAUUGGAUUCCAUUCCGCUCCGUCAACUGGCGCGGAUUGUGGGACUCUUAUCAUCUUCAAUACAAGCCAUAUUUCCGGGACCCCUUCACUACCGAGUGAUGCAACGGCUGAAGGCCAGCCUCCUCCGCCAAAACCCCACAUACAACCAACCGGUCCCGCUGUCGGAAGAAGUAUACCAAGAACUCCAGUGGUGGCUCCACUGCAUGCAGGCCUGGAAUGGUUGGGCCAUCUUCGGCAGUCAACCGGACUUCAUCCUGGAGUCGGACGCGAGUCACCUAGGAUGGGGCGCCAUGGAUGGAGAAACGUCCACAGGGGGCACAUGGACACCACAGGAAUUAUCGAUGCAUAUCAAUUGCCUCGAACUCCUAGCAGGCUCCUUUGCUAUCCACAGCCUCACAAAAGGGCAGUCCAAUUGCUGUAUACUGUUAAGAAUGGACAAUGUAUCCGCGGUACAAUACAUCAACCGCUUGGGGGGUACCCGGUCGAGAACCCUGGCACAUCUGACGAAGGAAAUCUUCGACUACUGCCUCCCACGCAAUAUCACACUACGGGCAGAACACCUGCCAGGGGAGACGAACCUCACAGCGGAUUGGUAUUCCCGUCAUUGGAGGGAUGCCAGCGACUGGCAACUGGAUCCGCGAAUAUUCGCACACCUACAAGACCAGAAGGGACCCUUUCUACUGGAUCUCUUUGCCUCACGAAACAACCGGCAGGUCCCACAAUUCUACAGCUGGCUACCGGACCCGGAUUGCUUAGCGGUAGAUGCCUUCACUCAGCACUGGCCACAACAAGGGGCAUAUGCCUUUCCCCCAUUCGCCAUGAUUGCCAGAGUUCUCAAUCGCCUUCGCAGACGAAGGGUUCGACUGACCCUGCUGACGCCCCUCUGGCCGAGUCAGCCCUGGUUCCCGGACCUUCUCGAAUUGUCUUAUCAGGACCCGAUCCUCCUACCGAACGACGACAUGUUACUCAGGGACCCGGCGGGGAACGCACAUCCGAUGGUGUCAGACGGCCGUCUGACCUUAGUGGCCUGGACUCUUUCAGGGGAACCUGGUGUACCGACGAAUUAUCGUCAACGGCUAAGGACUUCCUUUGGGAUUCCUGGGCCCCAGGAACACGGAGAAGCAUGGAGAGCUUGGACCAGUUGGUGCGUGGGACGGGACUUGGAUCCCUUUACAGCCCCUGUUUCCGAUGUCAUGAAUUUUCUCUCAGCCCUAUUCGAGGAUGGGAAGUCGUACCGCACCAUAAAUGUCACGAGAUCAGCUAUCUCGGCAGCACACGUGCCGUUUCAAGGAAGGGCAGUCGGACAGGAUCCGCUAAUAUGCCGCCUGCUACGGGGCAUCAAACUAAGGAGACCGCCAGCACCUAAAUAUCAACAUCUCUGGGAUGUGGAGAUAGUCCUUCGUUUUCUCAGGGACUGGCCUCCCAACGACCAGCUUUCAUUGAAACAACUGACGGCGAAGUUCACCUUCCUGUUGUGCAUGGUGUCCUUCCGGAGAGUGGCUGACGUUCGGACUUUCGAUAAGGACGCCUUCUCCAUUGGACCCGAAGGAGUCACGUUUCACAUAUCACAGCGUAAAAAAUUGUAAAUGCUUUCCUAUGCGACUGGCUGAAUGCGCGUGCAGCUCUUGCCGCGCGUGCGCAUUCAGCCGAAUGGGAGGAACGGAGGAGGAUCGGAGGAGGAGAGCUCCGCGCCCAGCGCUGGAAAAAAGUAAGUUUUAACCCUUUCCUCUCCCCAGAGCCGGGCGGGAGUGGGACCCUGAGGGUGGGGGCAUAUAGUGGUCCUUUAAACUUAGAAUGCAGUGAAGCCACACAAUUUAACACUUACGAAAACAAUUAAAAUAGAUUGUUUCAUUCUAGUUAGUUGCAACAAGAGAGAGACAAUACAGCACAUGGGCAAUUAAAAAUGGCCAAAACAUCAAAGGUUCCAAUGCAGUAAUACUAUUCAAUUUUCCCUUUUUAUCACCAAUACUUUAAAACUGUACAGAAACAAAGGUAAACCUAUAAAUGCUACAAUUUGCAACAAAAUAUGUUCUGUCAGUCACAAUACACAAAUUCAAAACAGUCAACAAAACACAUAUGUAUAUUUGUUUCAACAAAAUGAAUCCUAUGCUAUAAAGUCUCUUGCUCUUACAUCAUGUAUCAAUAUGGUAGUUAUUACGCCUCACAAACAUUUGUUGUAGAAGUCUAAAACUCAUGGUCGCCAAAAUGUGGUAAAUUACCAAACUCUAUAAAUUAUUAUGUACGCAUACACAUAUAAAUUACUUUAACAAAUAUUUAUUCAGAGACAAAACAACAACAACAUACAAAUAAUGACACACAAUCUAACUAACUAACUAACAAUAACAACUAAAUCUUAUAAAAUCACCAGAUCCCACUCACAGUUCAAUAUCAUAAAAAUUAACCCAUGUCUACUAAAAGAUCUGCUCAGUAGCACAGCCAAGCAGGAACAGGAAGGAAUGGGGAUAGGGGGAAGUGGGUAUCUCUUUCCUGACUUGUAAAGGUAUUGAAUUACCCAAUUACCAUAUGAAAGGGUAAAGCUUAUCCCACUGUAAGGCAUACAUGAGCUUGGUCAUAUGACCCCUGGUCACCAUAUUAGUUUGAUGACAGAAUGUCACCACACGUGGCACCUCUAUCGCCGUCCCAACCAUAGUUCCCUCCUCUUCAGGAGAUGGCUAUCGACCUUCCACAUCUCCAUCCAUCUCUCAAGUGCCUUCUUCAGGAUCCAGUCAGUGUGCCUCAUCCCCUUGUUCUCCAAGGUCUCUUGCAUCUCAUGGUGUGGUUGAUUUCAGGGAACCAUAGUCGGUCGAGGGAGUUUCGCAAUCAACUUUCCGACUUAUCGAGGGUGCACCCAACAUGAGACAGGCUUAUAAAUCUGCUUGAAACACAUGGCAUAGUUGGUGCAUGAAAUUAAAUUUAAAUUCCUUUUAUGUCUGUCCUCCAUUUUUCUGACUUCUCUGUAUGCUGAAGGUAAAGCCUAUCGCACUGUGGACCUUACCGAUCGUCCAUUUCUGCUGGUCAUCAAAGUUUCAAUUGCAUGCCCCUUUCGGUUGACAUCCUGAUAUAUGCUGACUUCUCUAAAGGAAUUUGGUUUGCUCAUCCACCCUUACAGCGAUACUCUGUCUUGUGGGACAUCUCUAUUAUAUUGAAUUUUUUUCUUGCAAGAGGUUUUCUGACGUACAAGUUCUAGAGGUGGUUGCUUGUUCCUUUACUCCAGAAGGUGUCCUCUUUGACAUUUCUCAGAGGACAAAAACCUCCUCUAAAAUCAUUUUAUACCCAGCUUUCCCUGAUAAAUCUCUCCUUUGCCCUGUUGCAUACUUAUGGGAGUGUGAACUUCGUUCCACUACGUUACGGAAACCUUUGAAACAGGAACUCUUCAUCUCCUUCCAAAUGUCGCGUCUUCCAGUGUCUACUCUAGCCUGGUGGGUCAAAUACGUUAUGUCUAUAGCAGAUAUUGAUACCUAUGUGUUUGUGCCUCAUUCGGUUCGUGGGGCAAUGGCUUCUAAGCACUGGCGUACAUACCAGGGUCGCAGGGGUCGCGCCUGCGACCGGGCCCGGCCCACCUGGGGGCCCGGCCCACCUGGGGGCCCGGCCGCCCCUGCGACCCGGUAUGUAGCCACAGGGCCAGCCUCUUCCCCUGGGGGGCCCAGGAGCCGACCACCCCAGGGCCCCCCUGAGGCUGGCCCUGCUGACCCCGGGUGGCCGGUCGGGCAGGCAGGCAGGCGGGCGCGCGAGGGAGCACUCAGUGCUUCCUCUUCAACUCCCUCGCGCACCGCACUGAUACCGGAGCCGGAAGAUGACGUCAUCUUCCGGCGCCGGCAUCCUUAGGCGGCGCGCGAGGGAGCUGAAGAGGAAGCACUGAGUGCUCCCUCGCGCGCCCGCCUGCCUGCCUGCCCGACCGGCCACCCGCACAGGAGCCCCACUGGACCCCAGGGAAUAAUCCCCCCCAGCACUCCAAGAGGUAAGGAGGCUGGGGGGAUUAUAUUAAAAAAAAAAAAAAAUCAUGUGUGAGUGUUAGUGUGUGUGUGAGUGUUAGUGUGAGUGUUAGUGAGUGUUAGUGUGAGUGUUAGAGUUAGUGUGAGUGUUAGAGUGAGUGUUAGUGUGUGUGUCUGCUAGUGAGUGUCAGUGAGUGUGUUACUGUGUGUGUCUUACUGAGUCUGUUUGAUGUCUGUUAGUAAGUGCGUGUUUGUCAAUGAGAGUGUAUGUUUUGUGAGUGUGUAUGUAUGUCUGUCGCUGAGUGUGUCUCUGUCAGUAAAUGUGUGUGUCUGUUAGCUAGUGUGUAUGCGCCUGUAAGUGAGAGUGUGUGUGUCUUCAGCACUUACCUUUCUCCAGCGCCGGACUCCCUUGGCGCUGAGGAUCCCUCAGCCUCUCAGCUCCUCAAUGCCACUGCCAAGACGAUUUCCAGUCUCACUUCCAUGGGGAAAGCAUUACUCAAUGCUUUCCUAUGGGCGUUCAGUGUGCUCCUCUAGCGGCUGUCCGUGAGACAGCCACUAGAGGCUGGAUUAACCCUCAGUGAAACAUAGCAGUUUCUCUGAAACUGCUAUGUUUUCAGCUGCAGGGUUAAAACUAGAGGGACCUGACACCCUGACAACUUCAUUGAGCUGAUGUGAUCUGGGUGUCUGUAGUGGUCCUUUAAAGGACCACUAUAGUGCCAGGAAAACAUACUCGUUUUCCUUGCACUAUAGUGCCCUGAGGGUGCCCCCACCCUCAGGGACCCCCUCCCGCCCGGCUCUGGAAAGGGGUAAAACUUACCCUUUUCCACCGCUGGGCGGAGAGCUCUCCUCCUCCGAUCCUCCUCUUCUCCUCCCCGUCGGCUGUAUGCGCACGCGCGGAAAGAGCUGUGCACGCAUUCAGCCGGGCACAUAGGAAAGCAUUCAUAAUGCUUUCCUAUGCACGCUGGCGUGCUCUCACUGUGAAAAUCACAGUGAGAAGCACGCAAGCCCCUUUAGCGGCUGUCAAUGGGACAGCCACUAGAGGAAAUAGGGGAAGGCUUAACCCAUUCAUAAACACAGCAGUUUCUCUGAAACUGCUAUGUUUAUGAAAAAAUGGGUCAACCCUAGCUCGACCUGGCACCCAGACCACUUCAUUAAGCUGAAGUGGUCUGGGUGCCUAGAGUGGUCCUUUAAGUGUGUGUGCAUCUGCAUGCACUGGCGUACAUACCGCGGUCGCAGGGGUCGCAGCCCUGUAACCCCUGCGACCAGGUGCCCACCGCCAUGUGUUGCGGCCCGGCCCGCGCGCGGGAGGGGGGGGGGGCCCACGGAUCAAUUUUCGCACCGGGGCCCCAUGGGUCAUGUGUACGCCACUGCUUCUAAGGCUUCCUCGAUUGGUUGUCGCUUGGAGGAUAUUAUGAGAGCGGCUGGUCUUCGGAGUCUACAUUCCAUGAUUUCUACUUUAGACCUAUUCAACACUUCACAGGAGACAUAAUUUCACAGCUUUGAACUAGCAUAAUAGGAGCCUCUGUCUCUUAAUAAAAUUUACAGAUUUUACUAUUAACAUGACGUAAAGUCAUGAUUUUAUUAAUGACACAAAGGCGAGUAUUAUCCCUCCCUCCCAUCCCUGGAGGUUUGGUCUUCUCUGGGUAAGUUGACUUCACGGUAAGUCUUUUUUGAUUACUGGCUUUUAUCCUUGUUAAUGGCUGCCAAGAGCUUAAGGUUUGACUAAAUUGAAUUUCAUGUUAUGUAUAUAUAUAUGAUAUUCUAUGUAAUGCGAAUUUAUGCAUAAAUCCAGUUUUAUACUUGGAUAUUACCAUAUUCCCCUUUCUCAUCCAGCCUGACUUCGAGAUCCUGGUUAAGGCUCGCAUACCCUCUUAUUGAAGCCCCCUUUUCAUUUGGAUUUGUUGUCCUUGUUCGGGAUCGCAAGAAAGAGGAAGUAGUAUACAUGACAUUGCCUAUUAUGCUAUAAAGAGGAUGCUGAUUGGCUGUUCCUGUUGCUAGGAAGAUAUACCUCAUGUUAUUUACUGGUUUCUUUUAUACUGAUUUAAUGUUAUUUUUCUUUGCUGCUGAGGGAAAUAAAGAAAGAGUGCAGCAUAAUACUCGCCUCCGUGUCAUUAAUAAAAUCAUGACUUUACGUCAUGUUAAUAGUAAAAUCUGUAAAUUUGUAAAAAAAAAAAAAAAAAGGCUCAUCAGAAGGGAUAUGAGAGCACUAUACAAAUAUAUACAGGGUCAGUACAAACUGCUAUAUGCUAACUUGUUCAUUAGUAGGAGUAUACAACAAACAAGAAGAUGUCACCCAAUGAGACUGGAAGAAAGGCGUUUUCAUUUAUAGCAGAGGAAAUGGUUCUUAAGUAAGAACAGUAAAUAUGUGGAAUUCUGUGCCUUUAGAGGUUGUGCUUUCAGAUUCAAUAGUUAAUUUAAACAAAUGUUGUAUGCAUUUUUGCAUAAACAUAAUAUUCAAGGAUAUCAUUGAUGUGUAUGUAAACUUGUUGUGGGUCCAAGGAGAUAUCUGAUUGCCAUUAUUGUGUCAAGAAGUAUUUUUGCCCUUUUGUGGCAAUAUUUUGUUUGUAACUUUGUAACUCUUAAAUCAUUGUUCACAUGGAACACUUAUCAUAGAGUGAUAGAACACAACAGAUAAUUGUAUAAUGCAAUUGCAAACCUAUCUCUUGGCUUUAUUCAAACCAUUUUAGCAAUGGUAAGACAUGUCAAGAAGAAAUUUGGUUAGACAUUAUAAGAAAUAGAAAGCAAACAGAGGGAAAAUGGAAUUUUAAUGAGUAAAAGACAAAUUUUCAUAUGAUCAAUGCUAUUGUGUUUCAGACUGGCUAUUAAAUUACUUUACCCUACUUCCCAUAAUUGAACUGCAUAUUAUGAAGGUCUGUCAUCUCUGUCUGCCUCUUCAAAAUUAUUUUGAUAAUAUCUUUCUUCACCAUUAAUUUCUGUCUACUGUUUUCUCAUGCUGAAGAUCAAUUUUUCCCUGUCUUCUUUUGUGGCUUUUUAUGACAUGAUGAUAAUAUUCAAUCUUCAAAUUAAAUACUUUCCCCAUUGCUCUGCCCUUUUAAAGCUAUCACAUCUUAAUCCAGAAUAAUUAUUGUCUAUUUAUGAUAAAAUUAGCUCUCUUUGAAGAAAAUGCCUGUUUUUCACAACAUACAUACUUUCUAUGCUUUAAAGCAGCUCUGAAAUGACCUCCUCCCCAUCCCAAACCUAUGGAUCCCUCCUACUAGCACCCACCAAACACCUACAACUCUUAUUGGCCCCAGGACCACCCUUUGUCAAUUCUGGUUAUACAUAAGGAAAUGUAGUGCUGGGGAGGGGGAAGAGACUUCCAGAAAAAAAUAAAAAGCAAAAACAAAAAUAAAAAAAUUAUAAAGCGCUUUAAUCACAUCUAGCUCCUGAUCCUAUUUUCUCUCCAGUGUAGAAUUUUACCUGGGUGUGGUUGACCAAAUCUUGACCCAUACCUCCUUUGUUAUCUCACAUUCUGUUCUUGCUAGUGGAAUGACAAUAAUGUUCUAAUUAAAUAUAUUUGGGAAUGCUUGUGGUGUUAUACAUGCGUUGAUGCUGUAUGUGUAUAUUUAUUAACUAUAUAAAGGCAGAUUCUUGUUACUGCUUCUUCCUUUUUCCCUAUUUUGAUCACUUCUCACUUGAUUUGUAAAUAUAUAUAAUCAUCUUUUUUUCCCCAUCAUUCGUAUAUUUUUUGGCACCAUGGACGGAAUCCUGAAUCACGAUUCAAAUGAAUUGGCUCAUCCAUUGUCCAUUAUGUUUGCUUCAUAAUUCAUUCAUGAGCAGUUUCUGCUUUAAGAAUUUCAGAUGAGUUGCUGAUUGCCAACAAUUAGAACAAAUCAACCAAAAAAACAUUUGGGAGAAACCAAAGUCUACUGACUUGCAUUAGUAAAGGUUGCUCCCAAGACUUGUCAGGCCAGGAAGAUAUUUUUAUCUCACCAACCCGUGAUGUAUAGGGAGGCUGUUAAUGUUGCGUGUUUAUGUGUCUGUGAGGUGCUGUUUGCGUGUAAUGUUUAUGGGAUGUUUCUUAUGGUGUUUUUUCAGGUGUCGACUCUAUUGGUGUUUUGUUUGUGUGGGAAGGGUUAUUGUGGUGUUGUGUAUGUGUCUUUGUGUGCGUUUGAAAGAUGCUGAGGACCUUCCCUGCUUUCAUUCCUGAUUGUAAAAAUAAAGUUAAAGUUUUCUUCCUUUCUUCUUAAUAAACAAGUUACUAUUCUCUGAUUCACCAUCAAGUACUGAAGAGCAGUUCAGUGCUAACAGUGAUCUGCACCUGCCUGGUAAUGUAUGCAGGGCCGGUGCAAGCAUUUUUGCCACUCUAGGCAAAAACAAUUUUAACACCCCAUUUGCUCCCCCAAAUCAUGCAGACUAACACACACGCUGACUCAAGUAGACACAUGCUGACCCAUGCAAACUGACACACAUGCACUAACCCAUGCAGACACACAUGCACUAACCCAUGCAGACACACACACUGACCCAUGCAGACACCGACACUGACCCAUGCAGACACACACUAUGACCCAUACAGACAAACACAAUGACCCAUACAGACAUUGCACACAUGACAUACACACACACUGACCCAUACAGACGAACAUACACAAAAAUACUGACUGAAGCAGACUAACACACAUCUUACCUUCAUUGCUGUUCCUAUAUUCACCUUCCCUGUGCCUGGCGGCUCAUCACGUCCUUUCUCAGCAUAUUUCCUGUUAUGUUCCUGCCCACUUCUUCCCAGGGGAAGGGGUGGGAGCAAGGAAUUGAAGCGCCCUUUCGCUGCUGCUGUAGCAAUGGAUGUCUGGAAGGGGGAGGCAUGGCUAAGCAGGCUGAUGUGUAUUGCUGCAGGCAGUGGCACAAACUCAUAAAGCUAGGGUCUGCUCCCCCCUUAAGCAGCACCCUUGGUGGCUACCUUAGUUGCCUAUAGGAAGCCACAUACUGGCUUGUAGACUUGUGUAAGGGGAAGAAAUUUGGUUCAGUUGAAUCAUUUCAUCAGAAAAUAAAUAAAUAGUUGAAGUGUCCAAAUUGCGUUCAUAUGGUUAGUUGGUUAGGAGGAAUUCUGCACAUGUAAACGAUUCUGGAAAAUAAUUAGUUUGAAAAAAAAGGGUGCCAAACUGUGCCAAUUAGUGAACUGCAAAAUAUACUGCAUUUUACUACAUUUCCACUCUAUUUCGUUUGCAGAUCUAGUGAGAAGAAAUAACCAAUUGAAGGAAAAAGAGAAGCAGCAAAAAAAAUCUAUAUUUAUUAACUGUAUAAAGACAGAUUAUUUUUACUGCUUCUUCCUUUUUCCCUGUAUUGAUCAGUUCUUUUUUAGCACCAUGCCAGAAUCCUGAAUCACGACUCAAAUAAAAUGGCUCACCCGUUGUCCAUUUUGUUUGUGUCAUAAUUCAUUCAUAUGUUGUUUCCAAGUUCAGAAUUUCAAAUGGGUUGCUGAUUGCCAACAUCAUUAGAACAUAUCACCAUUUGGGAGUAACCAAAGUCUGCUGGCUUACAGUAGUAAGGGUUGCUCCAAAGCUACACAGGCCAGGAGGAUCUUGUGAGCUCACUUACUCGUGAAGUGGGAAAACUGUACAGUCAGUGCCCUACGGAAAAUACCAGAUUCAGCUCGCAAACGUUUCACCCAUAUUUUAGCAUUUGCCAAUGUCUAAUUUGUCAAUAUGAAUCCAAUUCACAUACAUUAUUUUGUAAAUAACAAAGGGCAUACCUGCAUGAAAUUAUUGAAUAUGUAUGUGGAUGAUCAGAAUUGUGUAUUUCUGAAAUGAAACAAAUGAAAAAAUACAUUCUUUAUAAUGAUAAAUUGCAAGCUUAAAGUUACACGUUUACAAUUAUACAAAUAUGUGUACACUUUGUAAUACAAAUUAUUCAGCCCACGAACAUUUCAGUAGGCAAUUUGGUGUUCACAAGGCUAUUAAUAAAGAUUAUUUAAAUAUAUGAUAACUAAGCCAAAUGCAAUUUUGGAAUACAGAAUUGGUGCCCAUACAUUCCUGUGAAACAUGGGUAAAUUUAACAUAAAUUGCCACCUGUGGCAGGUUGCAUUGACAUUAAAAAAACUUAUAAUUUACUAUUGUUGCAUAAGGUUUUUAAGUAAUUUAAUAUUUUGUGGUAAACUUUUUAAAUUAUGUUUUAAAAAUAUAAUUAUAACAUAUGUCACAUUAAAAUAUAUAUCAGUUUAUCAAAAAUAUUAAAAUAUUACACAAUGAAAAUAUUUUUUCAUAUUAAAUAAUUUUAAAAGUUUAUUUAAAAAUAUUUGAAAAGCUUAUUAAACAUUAUUAAAUUAAAGGGACAAACUUUGUAAAACCAAACAGUGUACAAUCUGCUAACUCUCAUUGUUUGCAUAAAUACAAUUACUGGAUGUGUCCAUACUAUACAAAGAAUGUCACGUCUUUCUAAAAAUAUGUCUCAAAGAGAUGAUGAUUUUAAUAUUCCUCUGAAUAUGCUGAUAUGAUAUUACACUGGCAGUAUGUUUAACUGUUUUACAUUUACUACCUGUAAAUAAAGUCAAUUGUUAAAGGAAUGCAUUAUGAGUGUGCCAUGCUUGGCUAGGCUGGCAUGAAACAAAAAAUAGUACACAUUACUCUGGUAUAUGACUGCCUGCGCUCUCACAACCCUAUGCCAUCUGUCUGAAUCUUGGCUUAGAAAAUAUGGGAUAAGCCCUAGAGUGUGUCACCUGCUGCGGAAGCAAUAACAUUUAAUACACUUCAUAUGAAGCUAUAAAAAGAUGUGGUCUGGAUAAUAUUACAUGCUGUGAGUAACCAUGGCUCAUUUCUCUUAAAGGGGCACUCAGCUGCCCACAUUUACAAGAGAAAUUUUAAAAAAAUCACCGUUUAGUACAUAUACCCCAAAUAAAAACAUGCAUGAAUUUUAUUAUUCAUUUUUUUCAUAGGUAGUAUAUCUAAAGACAUCUUACAAAAAAUGCUGAUAUCUUGUUUGCAGCAUUUCCAGCUUGCAAGCCCUCCCCUUCUAACCCCGCCCAGAUUUUCUAUGUCUGUCCAAUCACAGACUUCCCAAUGUAGCUCAAUGCGAGACAGGUGCUCUGGGCAAUUGCUGUCUCUUGAAUUUAGCUCAACUGAGCUCCACUGAUCUAACCAAACCAGGAAGUAAUAGGACAGAUUGUCUACUAAUAAGCCAGGGGGUGUGACAAGGUUUUUGUUUAUAAAAAUGUCAAUUUCUAUUGAAACCUGCACGUUUUGUAAAAACGAGGGCAAACUCUUCACACAUAAAGCAUUUCAGCAAGCUUCAAAUAGUGAGAAUGUGUUAAAGCACCUGAGAAUUAAAUAAAAUGUUUUUUUUGUUUGUUCCAAAAUACACAUAUUUUAAAUCUAUUAAGGUUAUUUAUUAUACACAUGACAUUUUAAUUUUUUUUUUUUGUAAAUAUAGGGAAAGUAGGUUUCUAACCAAACUGAACAAGCUGCAUACAUUGUUUCGGGUAGUAAUAGUAACAUACAAUGCCUUAUAAAGUACAGAAAAUUGGUAUAACCAUGGUUACUGUAUGUGGUAGUUAUGUAGGAAGCUGCAUUCACAAAACUGCCAGCAUAUCCUUACAAGUACCAAUUGCUGGGUAUUUGAUCAUUUUGAUUGAUCAGUGUUUUGUUUUUUUGUGAAACAUGUUAUUUAUGCAUCUAUGCUAGAAUUUGAAUUUGUGAGAUAUUACAAGAGUAUGGACAUCACAACAUAUCUCAAAUAUUUUAUUUAAAUUUGUGUAAAAUUACUUAAUUUUAAUUAAUAUAGGAAUUCCAAAUCGCAAUCUCUGCACAAAACUGCUGCUGUAUUCUAUAUGUAUUCGCUGGCAAUGCAUUCUGACAAAAUCUCAUUCAAAUGCUAUUUUUCAAUAACUUGGUGUGCAAUGGAUUAAAACAACAUUUUAUAAUAAAAAGCGUGGUCACCACGAGAAAUAAAUACGUAGAUAUUCUAAGCACCUAGCCAUUUAUCAACUGACUCUAGUCAUUCAAUAAACUAAGGAAUUUCAAAUUUUAUGGCAAGACAGGAGGCUUCAUAUUUGCUUUAACCUUCUUUACUGAACCUCCCAUCAGCAAAGAAACAGUUAAACACAUAGAGAAAAAAAAUCAACCAAUCAGAACACAUCUUAGCAUAUAGUAGUCUGUGAAACUCUUCCCAACUCCUCUUUCUUUGCUGCUUGCCUCCCAGGUGAGUAAACUCCAAUUAUAGACCUAUAUUGAUUGUUAUUAAUCUAACAUUAUCCUUGUUAAAAGAUAAUAUUCUUCCCAUUUGUUAUUACAAUCUCUCUUCUUCUUCAGUUCACUGUUCAGGUUCCUUUUCUGAUUGUAUUUAUCCAUUAGAAUUUUUAUUAAUUGUGUAAUUUUGAUUAAAACUAUCUUUUAUUUUUCGCCGCGCCACUAUUAUGUGGCUGCGGUUUGUUACUACUCAUGCCUUCCAAACGUAAGUAUUCCUUUAGUCUUACUUGAUUCUCUCUCAGUGGCGUCUCUAGGAUUCAUUUUUAGAGGGGGGCACAUGGAGGGCCAGGGACAAAUGGAGGGGGGGCACAUUUAACCCCGCCCUCGCCGCAGUUUGACCCCGCCCCUGCUGCAUUUUAAGCCCCGCCCCCGACACAAUGUGUUUGUUUUUUUUUAAUAAUCUCUGGUGGAGGAUUCAUUAUUUUCCACCAGGGAUUAUUAAAAAACAAACACAUUACCCUUGAUACAGUGCCAUAGUUGCCAACAUUUGAAAAAAAUUUCCAAGGAUAUUUUGCAGCACAGCUAUCAAUUACUGUCUGGGUAUAAUAUCCCUGGACAGUCAGUGCUCUCUGUAUAAUACAGGGUUGUGUGUAUAAUAAAUUGGGACAGUCAAGGGGUAUCACGGGGCUCCGCAUGGGCCGGGGAGAACAUAGAGUGGCGGCCUACGCGGACGACAUGCUAUUUUUCCUGGAACAGCCUCGGAUCUCAAUACCUAACCUGUUGAAAGCGUUCAGAGAGUAUGCUGUGGUCUCGAACCUCUCGCUCAACCUAGACAAAUCGGAGCCAUGCCACUGACUUCAGGAGACGCCAUGCUGAGGCACCUUCGCGAGCACUUUCCAUUCCGGGUAUGCCAGUCGAAGCUCAAAUAUUUGGGAAUAUGGCUGCCAAACGAUUUAAAAGACGUAUAUACAUUUAACUUUACACCUCUUCUCACGACCCUACAGAGGGACAUGAAAAAAUGGACUUCACAAUACAUCUCCUGGUUCGGGCGGAUCAACGCCAUUAAGAUGAACGCAAUGCCAAGAAUCCUUUACCUGUUCCAGACGCUGCCGACGUGUAUCCCGCGAUCGUUCUUCCAGUCCCUAACAACCGCCAUACGGAAUUUUGUUUGGACUCGGGGAGUGGCUCAUAUUGGCAGGUCAGUCCUGGAACGACCGAAGCAUGCGGGGGGCACGGGUCUCCCAUCGGUAAUCACCUACUACCAGGCGACCCAUCUAUGCCGCCUGGUGGAUUGGCACGUGUUCCCGACCGCCAAGCAGUGGGUGGACAUGGAGCAUCAACAAGCGCAAGGACGGAUUCCCUCCCUGCUGUGGCUGGACGGCACGGCUCUGGGUGACAUUCACACGGGUAAUCCAAUGAUAGACUCCACAAUGCGUGUGUGGUGUAGGACCAGAUACGUGAAGCAAUUGACCACGAUGCCAAACCCGCUGAUUCCUAUAACAAACAACCCGCGGCUUGCGGGAGGACUUAAGCGGGCGGACCUCGAGAGCUACGCGGCGACGGAAUGGACCUAUCUGCGGCAAUGGUGUACUGAGGUAACACACACCCCGACCGGAUUGGAUGAAUUCCGCUACCACCAAGUGCACAGGUAUUACCUCUCCCUAGCGGGAAAAGGCAACAUCCAUAGAACACUGCUACCGCUGGAGCAGGCAUGCGUGGACAGGCAACACCUCGUGCACGGAGUGUCCACGCUGUAUGCCAUGCUCCAGCUGCAGGGCAGCGGGACCCCCCUGGGAUUCACCAAGCGCUGGGAACAAGAGACGGGAACGAGUCUCACGGACAGCGAGUGGGACAAAAUCUUUAUGCUGACACACAAAGGGAGCAUCUGCUCCAAAUACCAGGAAUGUAACUACAAAAUCUUAACGGGUUGGCACAGAACCCCAGAUGUAUUACGUCAUGUCCAUGAGUCAAUCCCCGGGGAGUGCUGGAGGUGCGGCGUGGAACAGGGUACAAGACUUCACAUCUGGUGGUCGUGUUCGCUAAUAACUAAUAACGCCGUAUUGGAAGCAGAUACACAAAGCAAUUAGGGAAAUAGCGGACGCAGACCUCCCCCUGCAGCCGCUGCAAAUGUUGCUUAAUCACACGCAAACACCGCUGCGGAGUUAUAAAAAGGGUCUGACCGUACACCUGCUAAAGUCAGCGAAAAUCCUAAUCCCAAUUCACUGGAAAAGUAGCACAGUCCCCACCUUCCAGCAAUGGGUGGAUAAGGUGGAAGACAUAUAUAACCUUGAGAUGAUGACUGCCUCCCUGCAGGGACGCACGGACAAAUGUGCAACGACCUGGUUCCCGUGGGUGGACUACAUGACCAAGAGAGCAAGGCGGGGGGGCGCUCCGGGGGGGGAGGGAGAAGGAGGUGCCGCGGUGCCGCCGACCUUGCCGACCCACGGGGGGGGAGAUGCCCUGGGGUGACCGGCGACGACCUCCGCAGGUUCCGAGUGACAAUAGUACCGGCAGGGGGGUGACCGGGGGGGGGACUUGCUGCGAGUGGGGGGAGCGGGGGGAUUGGGAUGGGGACACACUGGGCGCAAGCCUAGCACAAGAGCAACGUUAACCAGGGACAGACGACUAGUUAACACCCCUGACAUAGGACGGAGUGUAGAGGCACGGAUGGGGAGGGGAGGGGAGGAGGGGAGGGAGGGCAGGGGAGACCUAAGCCAUACGCUGCGGGAAGGUGGGUAAGGUGGUUCUAGAGCUCUAGGGACAAGGGACAAGGGGGGGAUGAUAAGGUGGAAGAGUGGAACAACAUAGCCAAGGGGGAGGAGUGGGGACAACGAGAUGUAAUGGAUCUAAUUCAAUAUUAGGACUCACAAGCACACUGGAGGGACUGGAGAGGGGGACAGCCUCGGGGGGGCGCCCGCCAAGAGGUGACAGGAGAUUACUCCACAAAACUCACCGGCAGUGGUCGUGGGGGCACCAGACGCAACGCCCACACUAAACUGCUAUCAGGAAGGACUUGCGGCACAGGCCCUGACGCAUGGAACAGGGAUGCUUGAGGCGAAGAACCUUAGGAGCCCUAGCCAUAGUGAAAUGAGCAGGGGAUGUGACGGGCAACAAACUAAUACUCGUAUACUGGCCCUGGUAUUACAUAUCGUAGUACAGAAACCGGUUGAGAGGGUGAGGGGGGGUGGGGUGGAAGGUGACGAGAUGGGGAACAGGAGGGGGAGCCCUAGCAGAAGGGGACAGGGGAUGCAGCACUCGGGCAUCGAGGCAACCACAAGACUUCACCAUCAUAUGAUUGGGUGCGGGGAAUUUCCUUCUUGUACUAUGUUCUGUUCUGUAUUCAUUACUUAAAAUUCUAAUAAACACGUGAUUGUCAAGAUAAAUUGGGACAGUCAGUGCUCCCUGUAUAGUGCUGCUCUCUGUAUAAUACAGGUCUGUUUGUGUAUAAUAUCCCAGAGAGCAGAGAGCAGCACUAUACAGGGAGCCCUGACUGUCCCAGGAUAUUAUACAGACACAGGCCUGUAUUAUACAGAGAGCAGCACUAUACAGGAAGCACUGACUAUCCCGGGAUAUUAUAUACACACAGAUCUGUAUUAUACAGAUAGCUGAACAUAUACCCCAUGUCCCAAUCUCUAGACUACUAGUACCUGUCAACGCGUGUAACAGGGCUAAAGUGUGCGGCAGCUCAGACAGAUGAUUCAGCAAUAAAGUGCACUCGCUGGCAGAGCCAAACUGGGAAUCCCUGGGAAUCCAAAGCAGCCCUGGAAAAACAUUUAUGCCAUUCCUACAAGUCAAUAUAUAUAAAUAUAUAUAUAUUACAGUAAGCACACAAGCUCACUGACAUGCGCAAAUAGGCUUACUGACAGACAAAACUCUCUGACUCACACACAAGCUUACUACAGACAAACUCACUUGUAUAAACAGAAGGCUCACUACAAAGAAGUUCAGGGACACACACAAGCUCACUAAAGAAAAGUUCACUGACAAACACAUGUUCACUAAAUAGAAGCUCACUGACACACACACAAGCAGUACCAUUUUAACAGCGUUAAGGGACUCCGGGCAAAGCAAUGCACUGGGGCUCUUCCUACACAACAACUCACAGGAAUUUUAAUUAUUGAUAGACUGCUGAGUCCAUACACACACACACAGACUGCUGAGUCCAUACACACACACAGACGGCUGAGUCCAUACACACACACACACACAAACACAGACUGCUGAUUCUAUACACACAGACACAGACUGCUGAGUCUAUACACACAGACACAGACUGCUGAGUCUAUACACACACACACACUGCUGAGUCCAUACACACACAGACACAGACUGCUGAGUCCAUACAGACACAGACUGUUGAGUCCAUACACACACACAGACUGCUGAGUCCAUAUACACACAGACUGCUAAAUUCAUACAGACACACAGCUGAGUCCAUACACACACACACACACACACACACACAGACUGCUGAGUCCAUACACACACAUACUGCUGAGUCCAUACACACAGACAGACUGCUGAGUCCAUACACAUACACACACACACAGACUGCUAUGUCCAUACACACACACACAUACACACACACAGACUGCUGAGUCCAUGCUGAGUCCAUGCACACACACACAGACACAGACACACAGACUGCUGAGUCCAUGCACACACACACACACAGACUGCUGAAUCCAUGCAGACACAGACUGCUGAGUCCAUACACACACAUACACAGACUGUGUCUGGACAGGAACAUCUUUCUUCGAGCAGAGUAUCUGCUCGGUUCCAACUCGCAGAUUGGUUCUCUUGAAACUAGAGGGAUGCCAGUGACUGGCAACUGGAUCCUCAGGUCUUUUAUCAUCUCCAUUUACUUCGGGGUCCAUUCAACCUCGACCUAUUGCCAACUCGGCUGAAUCGUCAGACAGACGCCCUUUUCAGUUGGUUGAUGGAUCGACCUCUCUAGCAGACUCAUGGGCUCCUGGCACUAGACGUUCUUACCUCUUGGCCUGGCGAGUUUGGAAUUUCUCUUGUUUUUCAGCUUCUUUGAUUAACGUUAUGAAUUUCCUGUCCUCCCUUUUCAAUUAAGGGAAAUCCUACAGAUCUAUUAAUGUGUUUCGUUCUGCGAUUUCGACAGCUCAUGUUCCUAUUGACAAUGCUGCAGUAAGGAAACAUCCCUCUCUCUUUAGACUGUUGCGAGGCUUGGUUUGUCUUUGUCUUCGUCUUGCUCGACCCCCUGUUCCUAAAUACUCUCAGUUUUCGAAUGUCGCUCUUUUUCGUUUUGUCCUUCUUAGAGACAUGGCCAUCGAACGAAGCACAUUCUCUUCACCAACUGUCAGCCAAGCUAGCUCUUCUUCUCUGUUUAGUCUACUUUAGGAGAGUGUGUGAUAUUCAAGCAUUUGAUUUCCAUGCAAUUGACUUCACCCCCCAGGGUGUAUGUUUUAACAUUUCUUGCCGCGCUAAAGCUAACUCCUAAGCAAUUAUUUACCCUUACUUCAAAGACAGACCAUCUCUCUGCAUUGCUUGUUGUGUUCAGCACUACGUCUUUGCUAUGACUCCUCUGUGUAUGCCUACGGGCCCCCUGUUUAUCUCAUAUGUCCGACCACACAAACCAGUGUCUCCCCCCAUGAUUGCCCGCUGGAUUAAAUGGCUUCUUGUUUUGGCAAGCGUAGAUCCAUCCUUUGCAGCUCACUCAGUUAGAGGUGCUGCCGCCUCUUCCGCCUAUGUGGCUGGGAGAUCUCUUGCAUCCUGUGACUGGUCUAGGGAGUCUACCUUCCGUACCUUUUUAUUUUCGACAAUUGUCCUAUGCUUCUUUUUCCUUGGUUUCCACGCCUUAAAAAAAGCAAAUAUGAAGCCUCCUGUCUUACCAUAAAAUUUGGGAUUAUUCUAGUUUACAGUGACUGAAUAAUCUAAAUUGUAUUAAACACAUGAGGCAAAUAUUUUUCCACCCACUUUGUAUCCCAUCCCAGUUACUUUACGUGAGAUAUAUAUAUUUUUAAUUUUGAUGUUUUCAUAAGACUGUAUAUUACACUGCCGGUUUCUAUUUCUUAUGGUUAUGUGAACUCUUAAUUACCGAGCUAGGAAUAUUUAGAUUUCGAAUAGUUUGAUACUCGUGAUAUCGAUAUGUGUUAAUCUGUAUAUAUAUAUUGCAGACACCCAGUCCAAGUGACUAUACUUUCACAAUGUUUUCUCUGUCUUUCUAGUGUGAAGUUUCGUCUGCAUGUACCGCUUCAUUAUCCCACAGACUGCUCUCCGGAGGCUUACAGUUUCUACUUUGUUUUGGUUUACAUGGUUGAUUCAUCACUCUGGUUUACAUGGUUGACUACACGUUUGAUCGCCUGCAUCAAGAAAGAAGAGUUGGGAAGAGUCUCACAGACUAAUAUAUGCUAAGAUGUAUUCUGAUUGGUUGAUUUUUUUUCUCUAUGUGUUUAACUGUUUAUUUGCUGCUAAGUGG